AAGGAAUAAAAUUACUUGAUUAUAUCAAAAAUUUAUUGGUAGCAUUAACUUUUUCUCUGCAAACUAAAGCUUAUUCAGCCAUGCUCAAUCAGUUAACACAUGGCCAGCAAUUCUGUCUUUUCAGGACUGAACUACAUAUGUUGAAAUAUGACUUUUGUCAUUGGGUUUUUUGUAGAUGAUUCAAGUGGUGUCAAAAUCCAUCUUUUAUUUAUGCCUCUUAAGGCAGUUUAUUUGCAAAAUCUAUCACACUCACACGCAAAUGCACACAUCAGUUUUUGUACUUUUCCGUUUCAAGAUACUUAAAAACAGAAAACUAGCACAUAGAAACAAUUAUUUUUUCUAUUAGAAAAAGGAAUACAGAGUAAAAUAUUACUAAGGUCCUUGGCUAUGUGAGAUAUAUUUAAAACAUAGACUCUAAUUUCAAACAGAUUUCAUGUAUAACAUUAAUGUAAGUUUGGGGAUUUUUUACUUUUUAUUUCUCCACCACAUUCUGGUCCCUA
rnacentral:lncRNA from 1 species